rnacentral:rRNA from 1 species
CCUACGGGAGGCAGCAGUGGGGAAUAUUGGACAAUGGGGGGAACCCUGAUCCAGCGACGCCGCGUGAGUGAAGAAGUAUUUCGGUAUGUAAAGCUCUAUCAGCAGGGAAGAAAGAAAUGACGGUACCUGACGAAGAAGCCCCGGCUAACUACGUGCCAGCAGCAGCGGUAAUACGUAGGGGGCAAGCGUUAUCCGGAUUUACUGGGUGUAAAGGGAGCGUAGACGGCGAUGCAAGUCUGAAGUGAAAGGCGGGGGCCCAACCCCUGGACUGCUUUGGAAACUGUAUGGCUGGAGUGCAGGAGAGGUAAGUGGAAUUCCUAGUGUAGCGGUGAAAUGCGUAGAUAUUAGGAGGAACACCAGUGGCGAAGGCGGCUUACUGAACUGUAACUGACGUUGAGGCUCGAAAGCGUGGGGAGCAAACAGGAUUAGAUACCCGGGUAGUC